rnacentral:rRNA from 1 species
GUGGGGUAGUGGCUUACCAAGGCUUUGACGGGUAGCCGGCCUGAGAGGGUGACCGGCCACAUUGGGACUGAGAUACGGCCCAGACUCCUACGGGAGGCAGCAGUGGGGAAUAUUGCACAAUGGGCGGAAGCCUGAUGCAGCAACGCCGCGUGCGGGAUGACGGCCUUCGGGUUGUAAACCGCUUUCGCCUGUGACGAAGCGUGAGUGACGGUAAUGGGUAAAGAAGCACCGGCUAACUACGUGCCAGCAGCCGCGGUGAUACGUAGGGUGCGAGCGUUGUCCGGAUUUAUUGGGCGUAAAGGGCUCGUAGGUGGUUGAUCGCGUCGGAAGUGUAAUCUUGGGGCUUAACCCUGAGCGUGCUUUCGAUACGGGUUGACUUGAGGAAGGUAGGGGAGAAUGGAAUUCCUGGUGGAGCGGUGGAAUGCGCAGAUAUCAGGAGGAACACCAGUGGCGAAGGCGGUUCUCUGGGUAGUAACUGACGCUGAGGAGCGAAAGCAUGGGUAGCGAACAGGAUUAGAUACCCUGGUAGUCCAUGCCGUAAACGGUGGGCGCUAGGUGUGGGGUUCCUUCCACGGGCUCCGCGCCGUAGCUAACGCAUUAAGCG